rnacentral:rRNA from 1 species
UACGUAGGGUGCGAGCGUUGUCCGGAAUUAUUGGGCGUAAAGGGCUCGUAGGCGGUUUGUCACGUCGGGAGUGAAAACUCAGGGCUUAACCCUGAGCCUGCUUUCGAUACGGGCAGACUGGAGGUAUGCAGGGGAGAACGGAAUUCCUGGUGUAGCGGUGAAAUGCGCAGAUAUCAGGAGGAACACCGGUGGCGAAGGCGGUUCUCUGGGCAUGUCCUGACGCUGAGGAGCGAAAGUGUGGGGAGCGAACAGG